GGGUAGUAUGAUUGAAGCACUUGUUUCUGCAACUCAACCAACUCCAUGAACUUUUCAGCGACUUCGUCGGAAUCGGGCGAAGAAUCAUGUUCAGGUGACGACAUUUUUGGAAGAAAAAUUGUAGGAGGAAGAAGGAAUGAGUUGUGAUGAAUGAAUUGUAGGUGAAUGAGUUGUAGGGAGAAGUAUUAUUUAUAGAGAGAAAAGAAGAUAAAAAAAAAAA
rnacentral:lncRNA from 1 species